CUUCCCAAAGUGCUGGGAUUACAGGUGUGAGCCACCACACCUGGCCAAAAAGUCAGCUUAAUUAAUUGCAGAUAUUCAAGCUCUAACAGCCUGGAGUUUCUUGGAAAAACAACAGAGGAGGUGCCAAAAUAGGCAUUUUGGGAAAAACGUCUGUUUUCCUCAUGAAACCCCAGGAAUUGGAAGUGGUUAGAUCCUUCUCAAAGUCUAAGGUUCUGUUCCAUUUUGCAUUGCGUUAUCUGAUGGUCUUUACUUUCCAGGGUAUCAGAAAUUACUUCACAUUAUGAGAUAACUUAGAUAUGUAAUAACUAGGUGGGAAAUAUACAUUUAGGGAUGGCUAGUGGCAGUUAUCGGGCAAUAUUCAGCUUUUUGCACACUUGAAUCAGAGAAGUGUGCUCUUGGUCAUUUAGAAGGUAUGGAAAUGUUCCCUCCCCUCACUGAGAGAUAAGACACUAAUGGGAGAUGGGCUGAAUCCCUCUUUUUGGGAUUCAGGUUCUAGUAUAAAAAUAGGAGUCAUAAUCUGGGGGGGAUUUGUUUUGCUUCCAGCUGUGCCUGCUUACUAGGAUGUAGACAUUGCUUGGUUUUUGUUUUCCUGGGCCCCUGUUCCUCCUAGGGAAUCACCUUGAAGCCAGGUUGGUAAUCCAAUUAAGAAACUGACAAAUGAAAAAUCUUACAGAUACUUGAUCUUCUUCCAUCUGCAUAUUUGUAUGUGUUGUGUAUGCAAUAUGAAAGAGUUUGAUUAAUUGGUUUAAAACUAAUAAGUGCAUAAAUCAAAUAUUUUAUCAGAAAAAUAGAAACCAUGGUGUGUUUUAGUUUAUAUGACUAGUAAUAUUUGGGAAAUAAAAACAGUUUUACAUGCUAGGUAUGUAAAAAAAGUAAAAUGGUUUUUAAUAAAAGAUUACAAGAAGUCAUGGGAAUGUGGAUUAGUUUUGGCCUAAAUUAAAGGGUUAAAGGAUUGUUUUAAAGUUAGACAAAAUAGAGCUGAAGGUUUAAGCAAGUUGUGAAAGGUUUGUAAAAAAUUAAAUCUUGUAAAAGAAAUUCUGUGUGUUAACAUAUUGGCCAAAGCUAAAGGGAUAUUCAAUUUUUUAAUAAAUUGAACACUGGAAUCAAAACACAACUGGUUUUCCUUAGAACACUGAUCUGCUCUUUCACAAAAAUUGUAGAGUAUUAUGAAAGGAUUAUAGGAAUCUUAAAUUAUGGUCAAACUGAUUAAGACUAGAUAGAUUUAUCUAUAAGAUUUUAUUAACAAUUAGGUUUGCUAUGAAUAGUGCGCUAAUACAAGGGCGAGAUUUAGCUUUUCCCUGUGAACAAGAUUUUCACAUAUUAUUUUAAAAAUGAAAGAUUUUUGUCUGCCCUUUUGAAUAAACUGGAGCAACAGG